UCCUCCGGUGCCUACUGAGCUGAUAUCAGUUCUGAUUUUACACACUGGCUCAGUUCAGCAGGAACAGGAGUC
ncrna:Taeniopygia guttata (zebra finch) microRNA tgu-mir-24 precursor